CUACGGAGUGCCCUGCUCCAAACUGACCACUGGGGGACGUGUUCCUUCCCAUGCCUCUGCCGAUCACUCACAGGGCAGUCAGCUUUUACUGUUAACCCCGUAGUUCCCAGAGUACAUGGGGAGAGUCCCCAUGGCACACUGUCUGCAUUGGUGUGGCCUGUGGUUAUGUCUGUGGGCAUCGUCUUGUUUAACUGAUGCAGGAGGACAGCCCAUCGUUGUUGGCACUGUUCUCCAGGCAGGGGUCCCUGAACUGGGUAAGAGUAGAAGAAUUGAGCACAAGCAAAGACGCCUGUGUUCAUUUCUCUCUGCUCUUGACUGUGGCGCUCCUGUGUUAGGUGACCAAGGUCCCGAAACUGUGACUUCCUUGCACGAUGAGUGUGAUAUAACACAAACCCUUCUCUCCUAGGCUGCUUCUUGUCAGAGUAUUUUUAUCACAUCAGAAACAAAACUGGGACACACAACAAAAAUGAAACAAAAAAUGUCACUACAAUAUUUUUGUUUUAGGAAGGAGAGAUGUACUCGGCACGUAGAAUGUCUUAAUUCUAAAUGGAUUCUGUUGAAGCUAUGUAUUUAGUUGCAUAACAUAAGAAAAUGUACGAACAAGUUGCCCCUGGUUAAGGGCAGGUUAAUGAAUAUCUUGGGUGUUGCUUGGUUGAAAAAUCCAGAAAUUUCUGCAAAUGUUUUCUCUAGAUUGAAUCUGAAUAACUUUGAAACUUUAUAUUGAUUCUUUGUGAGUUUUAUAUCACGCACCCCAAUCCCACUCAUCUCCCCUCCCCUUCCUAUCUAUCCUCUGCCCUUGCAACCUCUCUCGCAAAAGAAAACAAAACACAAAAUAA
rnacentral:lncRNA from 1 species